rnacentral:misc_RNA from 1 species
UCGCGGCUUAUCACCGGCAGUCCCCUUAGAGUGCCCAACUGAAUGAUGGCAACUAAGGGCGAGGGUUGCGCUCGUUGCGGGACUUAACCCAACAUCUCACGACACGAGCUGACGACAGCCAUGCAGCACCUGUGUGCAAGUCUCUUGCGAGAAGGAACCCGUCUCCGGGAACCGUCCUGCCAUGUCAAGGGCUGGUAAGGUUUUUCGCGUUGCAUCGAAUUAAACCACAUCAUCCACCGCUUGUGCGGGCCCCCGUCAAUUCCUUUGAGCUUUAAUCUUGCGACCGUACUUCCCAGGCGGCUUGCUUAACGCGUUAGCUCCGCCACAAGAGGGGUCGAUUCCUCUUACAGCAAGCAAGCACCGUUUAGGGCUAGGACUAC